rnacentral:ncRNA from 1 species
UUAAAAACGUUGACGGAAAAAAGUAGAUUAUUAAUUAAUUUCAGAAAAGAAUAUUGUGCUGUGAUUAUUCUAUUAAUUAAUAUUUGAAGUUCACUUCCCGAGUUGCUACUUGGAUCGAGUAUAGAGAAAGGUAGAACGUUUUGCCGCGUUACAGGUAAAUGAGUGUUACUCUCAUUGUUAUAAAUGACGGGUAAAAUAAGGGUGGUACCGCGAACCUCGUCCCUUGA